GUAUAGGUUUAUAGGCAUAAAAGCCAUUUCAUUACAUUCUAUAACAUACAAUUGGGUAUAUGCGGGAACAUAGGCCUGAAAAUGUAAGGGAAAGACAUAAAGUCAGUCCCCAAACCUGAAUGGCUAGCACUCAGAAAGAUAUCCAGGUCUACAAAAGGUGCACAGGUGGAGAUAUAAAGAUGACAAGCGUGCACAUGCUCCCUAGAGAACCAGCAGCAAACUCGUCAGAUUUACUUCAAUAAUGAUCCUUCCGCAGGUUCACCUACGGAAA
rnacentral:misc_RNA from 1 species